UACGGGGGGGGCAAGCGUUGUUCGGAAUUACUGGGCGUAAAGGGCUCGUAGGUGGCCAACUAAGUCAGACGUGAAAUCCCUCGGCUUAACCGGGGAACUGCGUCUGAUACUGGAUGGCUUGAGUUCGGGAGAGGGAUGCGGAGUUCCAGGUGUAGCGGUGAAAUGCGUAGAUAUCUGGAGGAACACCGGUGGCGAAGGCGGCAUCCUGGACCGAAACUGACGCUGAGGAGCGAAAGCCAGGGGAGCAAACGGG
rnacentral:rRNA from 1 species